GAGGUGCAGCUUCAGGAGUCAGGACCUGGCCUGGCAAAACCUUCUCAGACUCUGUCCCUCACCUGUUCUGUCACUGGCUACUCCAUCACCAGUGAUUACUGGAACUGGAUCCGGAAAUUCCCAGGGAAUAAACUUGAGUACAUGGGGUACAUAAGCUACAGUGGUAGCACUUACUACAAUCCAUCUCUCAAAAGUCGAAUCUCCAUAACUCGAGACACAUCCAAGAACCAGUAUUACCUGCAGUUGAAUUCUGUGACUACUGAGGACACAGCCACAUAUUACUGUGCAAGA